rnacentral:rRNA from 1 species
GGCCAUCCCGGCUUACCAACCCGAUGCAAACUGCGAAUACCGGAGAAUGUUAUCACGGGAGACACACGGCGGGUGCUAACGUCCGUCGUGAAGAGGGAAACAACCCAGACCGCCAGCUAAGGUCCCAAAGUCAUGGUUAAGUGGGAAACGAUGUGGGAAGGCCCAGACAGCCAGGAUGUUGGCUUAGAAGCAGCCAUCAUUUAAAGAAAGCGUAAUAGCUCACUGGUCGAGUCGGCCUGCGCGGAAGAUGUAACGGGGCUAAACCAUGCACCGAAGCUGCGGCAGCGACACUCAGGUGUUGUUGGGUAGGGGAGCGUUCUGUAAGCCUGCGAAGGUGGCCUGUGAGGGUUGCUGGAGGUAUCAGAAGUGCGAAUGCUGACAUAAGUAACGAUAAAGCGGGUGAAAAGCCCGCUCGCCGGAAGACCAAGGGUUCCUGUCCAACGUUAAUCGGGGCAGGGUGAGUCGACCCCUAAGGCGAGGCCGAAAGGCGUAGUCGAUGGGAAACGGGUUAAUAUUCCCGUACUUGGUGUUACUGCGAAGGGGGGACGGAGAAGGCUAUGUUGGCCGGGCGACGGUUGUCCCGGUUUAAGCGUGUAGGUGUGUGUUCCAGGUAAAUCCGGUUCACUUUAACACUGAGGCGUGACGACGAGGCACUACGGUGCUGAAGCAACAAAUGCCCUGCUUCCAGGAAAAGCCUCUAAGCAUCAGGUAACAUCAAAUCGUACCCCAAACCGACACAGGUGGUCAGGUAGAGAAUACCAAGGCGCUUGAGAGAACUCGGGUGAAGGAACUAGGCAAAAUGGUGCCGUAACUUCGGGAGAAGGCACGCUGACACGUAGGUGAAGUGAUUUACUCAUGGAGCUGAAGUCAGUCGAAGAUACCAGCUGGCUGCAACUGUUUAUUAAAAACACAGCACUGUGCAAACACGAAAGUGGACGUAUACGGUGUGACGCCUGCCCGGUGCCGGAAGGUUAAUUGAUGGGGUCAGCGCAAGCGAAGCUCCUGAUCGAAGCCCCGGUAAACGGCGGCCGUAACUAUAACGGUCCUAAGGUAGCGAAAUUCCUUGUCGGGUAAGUUCCGACCUGCACGAAUGGCGUAAUGAUGGCCAGGCUGUCUCCACCCGAGACUCAGUGAAAUUGAACUCGCUGUGAAGAUGCAGUGUACCCGCGGCAAGACGGAAAGACCCCGUGAACCUUUACUAUAGCUUGACACUGAACAUUGAGCCUUGAUGUGUAGGAUAGGUGGGAGGCUUUGAAGUGUGGACGCCAGUCUGCAUGGAGCCGACCUUGAAAUACCACCCUUUAAUGUUUGAUGUUCUAACGUGGACCCGUAAUCCGGGUUGCGGACAGUGUCUGGUGGGUAGUUUGACUGGGGCGGUCUCCUCCUAAAGAGUAACGGAGGAGCACGAAGGUUGGCUAAUCCUGGUCGGACAUCAGGAGGUUAGUGCAAUGGCAUAAGCCAGCUUGACUGCGAGCGUGACGGCGCGAGCAGGUGCGAAAGCAGGUCAUAGUGAUCCGGUGGUUCUGAAUGGAAGGGCCAUCGCUCAACGGAUAAAAGGUACUCCGGGGAUAACAGGCUGAUACCGCCCAAGAGUUCAUAUCGACGGCGGUGUUUGGCACCUCGAUGUCGGCUCAUCACAUCCUGGGGCUGAAGUAGGUCCCAAGGGUAUGGCUGUUCGCCAUUUAAAGUGGUACGCGAGCUGGGUUUAGAACGUCGUGAGACAGUUCGGUCCCUAUCUGCCGUGGGCGCUGGAGAACUGAGGGGGGCUGCUCCUAGUACGAGAGGACCGGAGUGGACGCAUCACUGGUGUUCGGGUUGUCAUGCCAAUGGCACUGCCCGGUAGCUAAAUGCGGAAGAGAUAAGUGCUGAAAGCAUCUAAGCACGAAACUUGCCCCGAGAUGAGUUCUCCCUGAGACUUAGAGUCUCCUGAAGGAACGUUGAAGACGACGACGUUGAUAGGCCGGGUGUGUAAGCGCAGCGAUGCGUUGAGCUAACCGGUACUAAUGAACCGUGAGGCUUAACCUUACA